ACCAGACUCCUACGGGAGGCAGCAGUGGGGGAUAUUGCACAAUGGGGGGAACCCUGAUGCAGCGACGCCGCGUGGGUGAAGAAGCGCCUCGGCGCGUAAAGCCCUGUCAGCAGGGAAGAAAAUGACGGUACCUGAAGAAGAAGCCCCGGCUAACUACGUGCCAGCAGCCGCGGUAAUACGUAGGGGGCAAGCGUUAUCCGGAUUUACUGGGUGUAAAGGGGGCGCAGACGGCGAUGCAAGCCAGGAGUGAAAGCCCGGGGCCCAACCCCGGGACUGCUCUUGGAACUGCGUGGCUGGAGUGCAGGAGGGGCAGGCGGAAUUCCUGGUGUAGCGGUGAAAUGCGUAGAUAUCAGGAGGAACACCGGCGGCGAGGGCGGCCUGCUGGACCGUGACUGACGUUGAGGCUCGAGAGCGUGGGGAGCAAACAGGAUUAGAUACCCCUGUAUC
rnacentral:rRNA from 1 species